rnacentral:rRNA from 1 species
GACGAACGCUGGCGGCGUGCUUAACACAUGCAAGUCGAACGAUGAAGCCCAGCUUGCUGGGUGGAUUAGUGGCGAACGGGUGAGUAACACGUGGGCAGCCUGCCCCAAACUCUGGGAUAACUCCUCGAAAGAGGUGCUAAUACCGGAUACGAACUAGACAGACAUCUGUACUAGUUGGAAAGUUUUUCGGUUUGGGAUGGGCCCGCGGCCUAUCAGCUUGUUGGUGAGGUAACGGCUCACCAAGGCUACGACGGGUAACCGGCCUGAGAGGGCGACCGGUCACACUGGGACUGAGACACGGCCCAGACUCCUACGGGAGGCAGCAGUGGGGAAUAUUGCGCAAUGGGCGAAAGCCUGACGCAGCGACGCCGCGUGAGGGAUGAAGGUCUUCGGAUCGUAAACCUCUUUCAGUAGGGACGAAGCGAAAGUGACGGUACCUAAAGAAGAAGCACCGGCUAACUACGUGCCAGCCGCCGCAGUAA